GGGCACCGCUCUGAAGUAUAUAUUAAAGUUGUUGCAGUUAAAAAGCUCGUAGUUGAAACUUGGGUGCGUAGGGGCGGUCUCUUUUAGAGUACUACCCUGAAACAUCUUUCUUUGGUGUAAACUCUUUAUUCACUUAAGGAGUGUAAACCAAACAUUUACUUUGAAAAAAUUAGAGUGUUCAAAGCAGGCCUUUGCUCGAAUAUAUUAGCAUGGAAUAAUAGAAUAGGACGUAUGGUUCUAUUUUGUUGGUUUCUAGGACCGUCGUAAUGAUUAAUAGGGACGGUCGGGGGCAUCAGUAUUCAGUUGUCAGAGGUGAAAUUCUUGGAUUUACUGAAGACUAACUACUGCGAAAGCAUUUGCCAAGGACGUUUUCAUUAAUCAAGAACGAAAGUUAGGGGAUCGAAGACGUAGAAUACCGUA
rnacentral:rRNA from 1 species